AAUGUUUGCAAUAGAAACACUAACAACCCUAUUUACUGCUUGUAAGCAAAUUUUUGUUGGUUUUAGCCGCUUUUGGGAGAAAAUAGGUAUAAGUGUUGUCUAAACACUUCUAAUCCAUCUCUAACUCUUAUUAUUAGUAAAAUGCAAUCGAUUGUGACACAUUUUGACCAUAAAAACAUUAACAAAGCAAGUUACAAAUUCUAAGCAAUUUUUUGGUUGUUUUAGCCUCUUUUGAGAAAACCUUGAUAUAAGUGUUGUCUAAACACUCCUAAUCUCUCUUUAACUCUUAUAAUUAGUCAAAUGCAUUGGAUUGUGACACAUUUUGACCAUAAAAACACUAACAAAACUGUUUACUACUUGUAAGCAAUAUUUUGUUGGUUUUAGCCUCUUGUGGGAGAAAAUGGGUAUAAGUGUUGUCAAAACAACCCUAAUCAAUCUGUAACUCUUAUAAUUAGUCAAAGGCUUUGGAUUGUGACACAUUUUGACCAUAGAAACACUAACAAAGCUAUUUAUUGCUUCUAAGCAAUUUUUUGUUGGUUUUAGCCGCUUGUGGGAGAAAAUGGGUAUAAGUGUUGUCUAAACACUCUUAAUCCAUCUUUAACUCUUAUAAUUAGUCAAAUGCAUUGGAUUGUGACACAUUUUGACAAUCAAAACACUCAUAGAACUGUUUACUGCUUCUAAGCAAUUUUUUGGUGGUUUUAGCCUCUUUUGGGAGAAAAUAGGUAUAAGUGUUGUCUAAACACUCCUAAACCAUCUCUAACUCUUAUAAUUAGUCAAAUGCAUUGGAUUGUAACACAUUUUGACCAUAGAAACACUAACAAAUCUAUUUACUGCUUCUAAACAAUUUUUUAAUUGGUUUUACCCUCUU
rnacentral:sRNA from 1 species